ACGCUCGACACCUACGGGAGCAGCAGUAGGGAAUCUUCCACAAUGGACGCAAGUCUGAUGGAGCAACGCCGCGUGAGUGAAGAAGGUCUUCGGAUCGUAAAACUCUGUUGUUAGAGAAGAACACGAGUGAGAGUAACUGUUCAUUCGAUGACGGUAUCUAACCAGCAAGUCACGGCUAACUACGUGCCAGCAGCCGACGGUAAUCUGAGCGGGCUGGCAAGGC
rnacentral:rRNA from 1 species